CGCUGCCCCUCACUUGGCUGCAACUGGACCCAGAACUAGGGAAGAGGCCAGGGACAGAUUUUUUUUUUUUAUUUUUAUUUUUUUUGCCGAGGGACGUUUCAAAAUUUUGCACGGCCAGGGUGACAAAAAGAGGAUUUAAGAGCCACAAGCGGUCCGCACAUGACCCAGACUUCGUUCCUGUGCGGCUUCCAGAGGUGUUCAUGCAGAAGACUGGAUGCAGGACCCUUGGUGGCACCAGUGUGCAGAUGAGCAGAUAGUGACUGAUUGCCACUGGGAUGAAAUUUUUAAAAAAGAACCUUGAAGUCUGUGAGUGACCAAUCAAAGAUGAAAAUUAAUAAUGGAAGACCUGGGAUAUACAAUCAAGUCUAAAGCCUAGAUAUCUGGUUAUUUUAGAAAAGCUUCAUAGGCAAGUGUCAGUGGAGCUGUGUUAUUUGAGCUGAGCUGCACCUUGAAGAACCAAAAAAAUUAUAAAUGGACAAAUAAGACCAAGUGCCUACACCAAAAGAAUUCUAAUGCUUAGAAGAGUUGCAGAAUAAAAUAUGUUGCAUGGGAUGUCAAUAGUAAAGGUCAAGAUAGAGGACAAAGAAACACAGAGGAAGGAGGUUAAUGGAAUGAGAGAAGAAAGUAUUUUUAGAGGAAGUUGAUAUUUCACCUGAGUUGUAAAAGGUCUUCUGUGAGUACACCGACAAUUUCAAACACUAUACUAGGAACUGAAUUUGGAUAAAUCAUAACCUGCCCCAGGGGCUCACUUCUAGGAGAGGGGACAGAUAAGCUAUAACAAAAUAUAAUAAACUGGGUACCUUAGAAGCAACGGAAAUUGAUUUCUCAUCGUUCUAGAAGCUAGGAAGUUCACGAUCAAGGUAGCAGCAGAGUUGGUGCCUGAUCUUUACCAUGCUGGAUUGGAAGAGAAAAGACCAUCACUAAAGCAAAUGGAUCAAAUGGAGUUAUAAAUCAACUCUGUACUCUACAGGAUUGACUCAACUGCAGACAUCUCCAAUACACUCCCUCAUGGCUUUAUUUUUUCUGCUUAUGUGGAAAAAUAACAGUAAAUACAGUUAACUAUCCCAAGACAGAAGAGUAUUAUUAAAAAAGAAUACAACGUUAUUGAUUUUUCAAGACAUAAUCAGAUAUUUUUAAACUCUGAUUUAAUAAAACAUAAUGUAAUUUC
rnacentral:lncRNA from 1 species